rnacentral:lncRNA from 1 species
UCUAGUGGCUGUUGUUCCACAAUGUGUUGUGAAGAGACCUGAAUGGUUUGCACCAAAACACAAACACAAACCAUUGGGAGAGUGAUUGGUGAAGUGAUGGACAUUUACUCGGGCAAAGGCAUGCAUGUAAAAUAGUCCCUAUCUGGAUGGACCUACGCCUGUGGCAGGAAGUUCACUGGUCAAUUACCUGCUGACUGAAGUGGCCUAUUUUCUUCUGACCCCCUGCUUCUCUCUUCCCCUCUCCGCCCUGAAAGCUGUUUGGGCAUAGGGAGGUCUUGACCUGAGGAAACCAUCUUGGGUAACCAAGGCAAGGAAAGGGAAUAUGCAACACCUAGGAGAUUUCAGCAAACAGUAGAAUCAUGCCAACGUAAUCUGUGUUAAAAUGCUUGGAAUGUGGGAGCCGCCGGUGAUGUCUGUUGUCUGUGUGUCUCCAGUAAUCCUUUCUUUUUUAAGUGCAGCAAAGCCAAGCCUGGAAACCAGGCCAAGCGCCUGCCACUUACCUUAAAUUUAUCAGCCACUUUGAGAUUAAAACCCCUGAAAGCUGCUGCACAGUGAAAGCAAGGCCUCCUUCACAUUAAAGGCAAAUCGCAACUCUGGGUUUGCUGUGAUCUCUCUCUCUCUCUCUCUCUCUCUCUCUCUCUCUCUUUCUCUCUCUUCUUUUUUCCCAGUUUUUCACAGUGUGGACUUUUUUCUCUCUCCUCUUCCCAUUUAUGCUUCCAUGUAGAAGCCAAUAGUUAUAGCAUCUUGGCCAAGCAUUCAUUAAGGUUUAUAAGAACAAAAUUUAUGGUUAUUAAGAAGUUGGUGAAAGACCGUGAGAGGAGCCCCUCGCUCAGGCCUUG